GGGUCACACUCCUGCUUCCUCUCUUCCUGCUAUGUCUCCUCCUGCUGGGCGUCCGGACAAGCACACCACGGGCCACUCCCACAUGUGCUCUCUCUCCACUGCGGGCGUGCCUCCUCGCACCUGCAAACACUCACCAAACUACACACCUGCCUGUGAUGAGCGAGCUGCCUUCAAGAGCAGACGCAGCCUGAGAUCCGACGCGAGAACGUAGCUUCACGUACCCAGUACACCUCCCGCCAUCCUUCCUUGUCGUCGAGUUGUGUGUCUCGUCACCUUGGACCUCCCGUGGAUUUUCCCUUGCCUUCCUGGACAUCGACCUCACGCCUGCCUAACGACCACGAAACCAAGCUCCUGCCCUUGACCAUCUGCCUGCUCCCCGACGUUCGAUUCCGCCUUGCUCCUUGCUGGACUUCCGCCUGGAUCCCAACACGCAUCCUCAACACCCUCUGGCAACCAUACUCAGAUAAGUCUCACACUUCGUCACACUACAUCUCUUUGGUUAAAUACACAUCUCACUCACACACUAAACUGUCAUUAAAUACGCUGACAGCUAACGA